GUUUGUGUACAAACAGAACUUUGCGGACAAAGCGGGCGUGGACGGGAGAACGGAUUUCGGGAGAAAUAUUCAGUCCGAUUACGGCAGGUAGUCGGUGAGGAUCUUCAAUGGCGAUUGAUCACAGGCUCUCCGGACAGAAAUCAGCUGAUCGCGAAAAAGUAGGUGCGAAAUGCAGGACAAUCUGUGAUUUUAUUCCUCCCGAUAAUUGGUGCAAGUGUAUGCGGUGCAUUCACACGGAGUCUACAUCGUCAACCUCUGCUCUGGGCUCCCGGGCACCAAUCAGCUGAUCGCGAAAGUGUAAGUGCGAAGUGCAGGACAAUCUGUGAUUUUAUUCCUCCCGAUAAUUGGUGCAAGUGUAUGCGGUGCGUUCACACGGAGUCUACAUCGGCGACCUCUGCUCUGGGACCGGGGCAGCGCCGGGGUCAGCCCCCAGGACGGAUUCCGAGAGGCGGGGACACGAGGCGACGCCGACGUCGGCGUCGACGGGGUGCUAUUUCCCUAUGGGGCUACGGCAAACCAUCCUGAGAGGGUUUACUUUUCAUAACUCAUCGAAGUAGUGUUGGGAGGACAUCUCGUGAAAUUCGAAAUUCCGCCAAGAUCAAGGAUUUCCAUUUUGGGAACUUCUCCGAAAGCGAAAAGCUUCUGGCGCGAUCUUGAAGAAUCGGCUAAAGAGGAAGAUAAGAGGGAGUGGAUUAAAAAAAAAAAUACAUCGAACGGCUCUUUAUUUACCUUUCGGUGAUAGAGAUAAAUAGAGUGCCACAACAGGAAUACCACGUCGUUUCGCGUGGUGAAAACGAGCCGAAUGGAGCAGAUCGUUGCUGCUUGAUGACGGCAGACCCGUCGAACGGCUAUGUAGAUGAGUACUAAACGAAGUACUGAACUUUGGUACUAAAGAUGUACUAAAAGUGGGUGCUUCUUGGUUUAGUCGCGACGACUCGGAGAAGGAACGGCAAUCGGUAAUUAAUAACGUGUGUUUAUAAUUGUAAUAAAAUCCCCAAGGCAUAUAGGGACGACUGGCAUUACCGCACUUGGGCAAGUUUUUCGUUGAAAUAUUUACACGCAAAUCAAGCAAACUACUACGAUAUUUACAUCCCCAUUUAAUUUAAAUAACGUUAAUGAAAAAUAUUUAGCCAUUAUCAUCCCCCUUCCCUAUCCACCUCAUUUAAUGAACGCACUCUUCCAGAGUUUCUAUUUUAAAAUUCAAUACUUUUAUUAUCAAUAUGAAUGCAGGGAUCUUUAAAAAUUCCAGGUGAUUUAUUAUUGUCGUUUAAAUAGCAAAAUUAUAAGGAACAUAUUUAGGCCCAAAUGCGAAGGAAAAAAAAAAGAGCAAAACUGGGUUCCAAUUUCGCAACUAAGAGCACUUGUACUGUGGGAGAGCCGUCCAUUGGUAUUCGGAGCGCCUCGACUCGCGGAACCUUCAAAUGCAAAUUUCUCGAGCCGCUAAUUAGAUCUUCGGCAUUACUUCGGAUUAACCUUUCCUCGUGUAGGUCUAGCCUUUACAUACCAGAAUUUCUUAGCAUCUCGGCAAACUAUGCCCCUCCAUACCUCGGGCUAGAGCGUGCAUCUCGAAAGCGCCUUAAAACCCGAGUACUCACUCCUGGCCUCGGUACUCUCGGGUACUGUAUCUCGUAAAUCGUACCAUCCGGAUUUAAUCGCGAAAACGGUGGACUAAGAGAUUGCACUCAUUACCCUGCGUUAAAGUGAUAGACGUUACCGGUCUUCUCUCUCUCUCUCUCCUUUCCUACUUACACGCCACAAAUCACCGAGAACCUUAAGAUCCCAUUUACUCCUUCCCCAAUUUGAUUUCGAUCAAUUUCGCACUAUUUACAGAAUGUACUUUCUUCCCAGGUAUUUUACGCAUGAUCGAUUGUCGAUGUUAACGCAUUCGCGACCGCUGACGUGAAU